GAAAUGUGAUGGCCCAGUUGCCAUAUCAUGACAAAAGAUCUUGGUUCGUCUCCCAUUGGCUGCUAUUGGAUAAAUCCAGUACUCUCCAUCCGAUGUAUUUUCAGCACAAGACAAAAGAUCAAUGCAUGAUGCUGUUAGACAAGGUAUUAGCUGCUGGGCUUUGGCUCCUGGUCUGAAAAACAAAUUGGAUGGACAACCUGGGAGCUAUAGUUCCGUAUUAGAAGGGAGCUGCAAACCUACAGCUAACAAGGUACCAAUCAAAGUUAUCUACAUUGUACAUUUUUUAUAUUUAUUUAUUUCUCACUAUAAUUGAGAAGUCGAGAUUGCUGUACACCUACCAAAACGUGUGUUUCCGUUGUUGAUGACCCAAUAACUCUCCACA